rnacentral:rRNA from 1 species
GGGAAUUUCCACGUGUAGCCGGUGAAAAUGCGUAGAGNAUGUGGAGGAACACCCAGUGGCGAAGGGCGACUCNNNUGGUCUGUAACUGACGCUGAGGAGCGAAAAGCGUGGGGAGCGAACAGGAUUAGAUACCCUGGUAGUCCACGCCGUAAACGAUGAGUGCUAGGUGUUAGGGGGUUUCCGCCCCUUAGUGCUGAAGUUAACGCAUUAAGCACUCCGCCUGGGGAGUACGGCCNCAAGGCUGAAACUCAAAAGAAUUGACGGGGGCCCGCACAAGCGGUGGAGCAUGUGGUUUAAUUCGAAGCAACGCGAAGAACCUUACCAGGUCUUGACAUCCUCUGCCAUUCCUAGAGAUAGGAAGUUCCCUUCGGGGACAGAGUGACAGGUGGUGCAUGGUUGUCGUCAGCUCGUGUCGUGAGAUGUUGGGUUAAGUCCCGCAACGAGCGCAACCCUUGAUCUUAGUUGCCAGCAUUUAGUUGGGCACUCUAAGGUGACUGCCGGUGACAAACCGGAGGAAGGUGGGGAUGACGUCAAAUCAUCAUGCCCCUUAUGACCUGGGCUACACACGUGCUACAAUGGAUGGAACAAAGGGAAGCAAAACCGC